GCCUCAGCAGGCUCAGGCUCGAACGCUUGGGCCCCAGUUGGCAGAACUGUUUUUGGAGGAUGUGGCCUUGUUGGAGGAGGUGUGGCCUUUGUUGGGGGAGGUGUGGCCUUUGUAGGAGGAGGUGUGGCCUUGUAGGAGGAGGUGUGGCCUUUGUUGGAGGAGGUGUGGCCUUGUUGGAGGAGGUGGGUCCCUGGGGACGGGUUUGAGGUUUUGAAGGACUGACACCAUUCCUAGUGUGCUCUCAGGGUUCUCCGCUUUCCCUGCCACACUGCCUUUGCUUUACCCGGUGCUCUAACCUCUCUGAAAUUCUGAGCCCAAUUAAAUUCUCUUAUAAAUUUCCUUGGUCAUGGUGUGUUGGCACUAUUUCUUUUUUUUUAUUAUUUUUAUUUUUUAGCUAUAUUAUUUGGAUUCUUAUCUUUACCUCCCUUCCAGUCAUUAUCCCUUCUAACACCCCAAUAUCAGGCAGCAGGGAAAGAAGGUUAGAGCGGGAGAGGACGUGGACCUCUUUAAACUACUUCCUGCUGAUUAGGGGCGUUGAGUUCCUUAGGGCAAGUCCAAUCUUCGUCUCCUCAGGAUAUCUCCAAUUUCUUCUUGUCUCCUUUCUCUAGACCACUGGCGACAGCAAGACCAAAAGCAGGAACCAGCAGGAGGGACAGCCAUGCCUUCUUCUUCAGAACACACACACACACACACACACACGGCCUUCUGGGGCUGGGGCAUUUAUACCCUCUCCAGAGCACUCAGGAGGCAAAUAGUCUGCUGCUG
rnacentral:lncRNA from 1 species